rnacentral:rRNA from 1 species
GUUGAAGCUAGUGUAAGAACUAGUGGAGGACUGAACCCAUAGGCGUUGAAAAGCCCCGGGAUGACUUGUGGAUAGGGGUGAAAGGCCAAUCAAACUUCGUGAUAGCUGGUUCUCUCCGAAAUAUAUUUAGGUAUAGCGUUGUGUCGUAAUAUAAGGGGGUAGAGCACUGAAUGGGCUAGGGCAUACACCAAUGUACCAAACCCUAUCAAACUCCGAAUACCUUAUAUGUAAUCACAGCAGUCAGGCGGCGAGUGAUAAAAUCCGUCGUCAAGAGGGAAACAACCCAGACUACCAGCUAAGGUCCCUAAAUCUUACUUAAGUGGAAAACGAUGUGAAGUUACUUAAACAACCAGGAGGUUGGCUUAGAAGCAGCCAUCCUUUAAAGAAAGCGUAAUAGCUCACUGGUCUAGUGAUUUUGCGCGGAAAAUAUAACGGGGCUAAAGUAAGUACCGAAGCUGUAGACUUGCGCACAACUUAGAUUAUUUAAGUUUAGAAUAUGAGAAACUAAGUUAUAUGUUUAGUUAUAUUUUUACUGAUUUUUAUAGAGUAAAGAUAGAAAUAAAACUUAGUAAAAUCAGUAAAAAUAUUCUUAGACUAAAGUUAAGUAGUUUAAGUUGUGUGCAAGUGGUAGGAGAGCGUUCUAUUUGCGUCGAAGGUAUACCGGUAAGGAGUGCUGGAGCGAAUAGAAGUGAGCAUGCAGGCAUGAGUAGCGAUAAUUAAUGUGAGAAUCAUUAACGCCGUAAACCCAAGGUUUCCUACGCGAUGCUCGUCAUCGUAGGGUUAGUCGGGUCCUAAGUCGAGUCCGAAAGGGGUAGACGAUGGCAAAUUGGUUAAUAUUCCAAUACCAACAUUAGUGUGCGAUGGAAGGACGCUUAGGGCUAAGGGGGCUAGCGGAUGGAAGUGCUAGUCUAAGGUCGUAGGAGGUUAUACAGGCAAAUCCGUAUAACAAUACUCCGAGAACUGAAAGGCUUUUUGAAGUCUUCGGAUGGAUAGAAGAACCCCUGAUGCCGUCGAGCCAAGAAAAGUUUCUAAGUUUAGCUAAUGUUGCCCGUACCGUAAACCGACACAGGUGGGUGGGAUGAGUAUUCUAAGGCGCGUGGAAGAACUCUCUUUAAGGAACUCUGCAAAAUAGCACCGUAUCUUCGGUAUAAGGUGUGGUUAGCUUUGUAUUAGGAUUUACUCCGAAAGCAAGGAAACUUACAACAAAGAGUCCCUCCCGACUGUUUACCAAAAACACAGCACUCUGCUAACUCGUAAGAGGAUGUAUAGGGUGUGACGCCUGCCCGGUGCUCGAAGGUUAAUUGAUGGGGUUAGCAUUAGCGAAGCUCUUGAUCGAAGCCCGAGUAAACGGCGGCCGUAACUAUAACGGUCCUAAGGUAGCGAAAUUCCUUGUCGGUUAAAUACCGACCUGCAUGAAUGGCGUAACGAGAUGGGAGCUGUCUCAAAGAGGGAUCCAGUGAAAUUGUAGUGGAGGUGAAAAUUCCUCCUACCCGCGGCAAGACGGAAAGACCCCGUGGACCUUUACUACAGCUUGACACUGCUAUUUGGAUAAGAAUGUGCAGGAUAGGUGGGAGGCUUUGAGUAUAUGACGCCAGUUGUAUAUGAGCCAUUGUUGAGAUACCACUCUUUCUUAUUUGGGUAGCUAACCAGCUUGAGUUAUCCUCAAGUGGGACAAUGUCUGGUGGGUAGUUUGACUGGGGCGGUCGCCUCCCAAAUAAUAACGGAGGCUUACAAAGGUUGGCUCAGAACGGUUGGAAAUCGUUCGUAGAGUAUAAAGGUAUAAGCCAGCUUAACUGCAAGACAUACAAGUCAAGCAGAGACGAAAGUCGGUCUUAGUGAUCCGGUGGUUCUGUGUGGAAGGGCCAUCGCUCAAAGGAUAAAAGGUACCCCGGGGAUAACAGGCUGAUCUCCCCCAAGAGCUCACAUCGACGGGGAGGUUUGGCACCUCGAUGUCGGCUCAUCGCAUCCUGGGGCUGGAGCAGGUCCCAAGGGUAUGGCUGUUCGCCAUUUAAAGCGGUACGCGAGCUGGGUUCAGAACGUCGUGAGACAGUUCGGUCCCUAUCUGCCGUGGGCGUAAGAAGAUUGAAGAGAUUUGACCCUAGUACGAGAGGACCGGGUUGAACAAACCACUGGUGUAGCUGUUGUUCUGCCAAGAGCAUCGCAGCGUAGCUAAGUUUGGAAAGGAUAAACGCUGAAAGCAUCUAAGCGUGAAGCCAACUCUAAGAUGAAUCUUCUCUAAGCUCUCUAGAAGACUACUAGUUUGAUAGGCUGGGUGUGUAAUGGAUGAAAGUCCUUUAGCUGACCAGUACUAAUAGAGCGUUUGGCUUAUCUUUAAUAAAGCAU